rnacentral:rRNA from 1 species
GAUGAACGCUGGCGGCGUGCCUAAUACAUGCAAGUCGAGCGAACAGACGAGGAGCUUGCUCCUCUGACGUUAGCGGCGGACGGGUGAGUAACACGUGGAUAACCUACCUAUAAGACUGGGAUAACUUCGGGAAACCGGAGCUAAUACCGGAUAAUAUAUUGAACCGCAUGGUUCAAUAGUGAAAGACGGUUUUGCUGUCACUUAUAGUUGAUUCCGCGCCGCUUUAGCUAGUUGGUAAGGUAACGGCUUACCAAGGCGACGAUGCGUAGCCGACCUGAGAGGGUGAUCGGCCACACUGGAACUGAGACACGGUCCAGACUCCUACGGGAGGCAGCAGUAGGGAAUCUUCCGCAAUGGGCGAAAGCCUGACGGAGCAACGCCGCGUGAGUGAUGAAGGUCUUCGGAUCGUAAAACUCUGUUAUUAGGGAAGAACAAAUGUGUAAGUAACUAUGCACGUCUUGACGGUACCUAAUCAGAAAGCCACGGCUAACUACGUG